rnacentral:rRNA from 1 species
UGAGUGCGAGCUGCUACGGCAGCGAAGCUGGUGACGUCAUGCUUCCAAGAAAAGCCCUAUACCCGUUAAGGCAUCAUGGCCUGUACCCGAAACCGACACAGGUGGGGUGGUAGAGAAUACCGAGGGGCGCGAGGUAACUCUCUCUAAGGAACUCGGCAAAAUGGCCCCGUAACUUCGGGAGAAGGGGUGCCACCGCAAGGUGGUCGCAGUGAAGAGGCCCAGGCGACUGUUUACCAAAAACACAGGUCUCCGCUAAGUCGCAAGACGAUGUAUGGGGGCCGACGCCUGCCCAGUGCCGGAAGGUUAAGGAAGCUGGUCAGCGCAAGCGAAGCUAGCGACUGAAGCCCCGGUGAACGGCGGCCGUAACAAUAACGGUCCUAAGGUAGCGAAAUUCCUUGUCGGGUAAGUUCCGACCCGCACGAAAGGCGUAACGAUCUGGGCGCUGUCUCGGAGAGAGGCUCGGCGAAAUAGAAUUGUCUGUGAAGAUGCGGACUACGUGCACCCGGACAGAAAGACCCUAUGAAGCUUUACUGUAGCUUGGUAUUGUGCCCGGGCUCGCAAUGCGCAGGAUAGGUGGGAGGCUUUGAUCAUCGGCUUGCGGGUCGAUGUGAGCCAACGGUGAGAUACCACUCUUUGCGAGCUAGGGUUCUAACGGCCACCCGUCAUCCGGGGGCCGGACAGUACCUGGUGGGCAGUUUGACUGGGGCGGUCGCCUCCUAAAAGGUAACGGAGGCGCGCAAAGGUUUGCUCAGGCUGGUUGGAAAUCAGCCGACGAGUGUAAAAGCAGAAGCAAGCUUGACUGUGAGACCAACAAGUCGAACAGGGAGGAAACUCGGCUUUAGUGAUCCGACGGUUCUGAGUGGAAGGGCCGUCGCUCAACGGAUAAAAGUUACUCUAGGAUAACAGGCUGAUCUCCCCCAAGAGUUCACAUCGACGGGGAGGUUUGGCACCUCGAUGUCGGCUCAUCGCAACCUGGGGCUGAAGUCGGUCCCAAGGGUUGGGCUGUUCGCCCAUUAAAGCGGUACGCGAGCUGGGUUCAGAACGUCGUGAGACAGUUCGGUCCAUAUCCGGUGCACGCGCAGGAAUAUUGAGAGGAUUUCUCCCUAGUACGAGAGGACCGGGAGGAACGCACCUCUGGUGUACCAGUUAUCGUGCCAACGGUAAACGCUGGGUAGCCAUGUGCGGAGUGGAUAACCGCUGAAAGCAUCUAAGUGGGAAGCCCACCUCAAGAUGAGUAUUCCCAUGGCGUAAGCCAGUAAGGUCACGGGAAGAACACCCGUUGAUAGGCUCUAUGUGGAAGCGCAGUAAUGCGUGAAGCAGAGGAGUACUAAUAGACCGAGGGCUUGAC